UACGGAGGGUGCGAGCGUUGUCCGGAAUCACUGGGCGUAAAGGGCUCGUAGGCGGUCUGUCACGUCGGGAGUGAAAACUCAGGGCUUAACCCUGAGCCUGCUUCCGAUACGGGCAGACUAGAGGUAUGCAGGGGAGAACGGAAUUCCUGGUGUAGCGGUGAAAUGCGCAGAUAUCAGGAGGAACACCGGUGGCGAAGGCGGUUCUCUGGGCAUUACCUGACGCUGAGGAGCGAAAGUGUGGGGAGCGAACAGG
rnacentral:rRNA from 1 species